rnacentral:rRNA from 1 species
UACAGAGGUGGCAAGCGUUGUUCGGAAUUACUGGGCGUAAAGGGCGCGUAGGCGGCCGCCUAAGUCAGACGUGAAAUCCCCAAGCUUAACUUGGGAACUGCGUCUGAUACUGGGUGGCUUGAGUUCGGGAGAGGAAUGUGGAAUUCCAGGUGUAGCGGUGAAAUGCGUAGAUAUCUGGAGGAACACCGGUGGCGAAGGCGGCAUUCUGGACCGAAACUGACGCUGAUGCGCGAAAGCCAGGGGAGCAAACAGG